AUAUAGAGAUGAUAGUAUACUGUAUAAAUACUAGCCUGCAGCGUCUGCCAUUCAGUGUCAGGAAAGGAGACUCAAUCAAAAUGUUCAAGAAAUUAUUCCUAGUUUUUCUCGUUGUUCUGAUGGCUGGAAAUAGCAUGCAACAAGGCGCUGGAGGAGGCGCAGGCGGUGAAGCUAGUGGUCAAGGUGGCGGUGGCGCUGAUGGGGGUGCUGGUGCGAAUGGUGGCGCAAGCUUUGGGUUCAAUGCUGGAGUGGGAGGCAACGCCGGCGCGGGCGGUGGCAGCAAAUAACGAUGGACAACAAUAAUAUGACAAACUACGAAAGGAUUGAUCAGAUUGCAACCGACUAUUAUACUGUAACUAAUUACCUAACUACUCUUUACUAAAUAAAAAAUAUAGCUGGUA